CAGUAGCCGCGGUAAUACGUAGGUGGCAAGCGUUGUCCGGAUUUAUUGGGCGUAAAGCGAGCGCAGGCGGUCAAUUAAGUCUGAUGUGAAAGCCCCCGGCUCAACCGGGGAGGGUCAUUGGAAACUGGGAAACUUGAGUGCAGAAGAGGAGAGUGGAAUUCCACGUGUAACGGUGAAAUGCGUAGAGAUGUGGAGGAACACCAGUGGCGAAGGCGACUCUCUGGUCUGUAACUGACGCUGAGGAGCGAAAGCGUGGGGAGCGAACAGGAUUAGAUACCCCUGUAGUCCCUGUCUCUUAUAC
rnacentral:rRNA from 1 species